rnacentral:lncRNA from 1 species
UGCUGAUCUAGGAUCCAAAACAAACACCAUAAGAAAGAAAUAUUAGAAAAAGUUAAAUUUAGUAGAGAGAGAAAUUUUUAUUAAAAAAUGAUCGAGCUACACAAGGAGGCUCUCUCACGCCUCACCAUAAAAGAUACCUCUAUCUCUCUUUCUCUUCCCACACCUCUUGCACUCUUUCACAUAUUUUUUCCACCAUCUUCCACACACAAAGGAGAUACC